GUCAUUGCUGAAUUAAUGUGUGAAAUGU
rnacentral:sRNA from 1 species